UGUAGCGUAAUGGAUAGCGUGAUUGACUUCUAAUCUAAAGGUAGUGGGUUCGAAUCCCACCUAA